rnacentral:misc_RNA from 1 species
AAGUCGUAACAAGGUUUCCGUAGGUGAACCUGCGGAAGGAUCAUUACCUGGCCUAGGCCGCUGCUUGCCAGUGCGCUGCUUGAAGCCUAUUACCCUGUCUAUGUGCACCUUUUGUUGUUCCCUCGGCAGCUUGCUGCCGCUGGGACCCCUAAACCCUUUGUAUUAAGCAUCAUUCUUCUGAUAAAACCCAAUUAUUUACAACUUUCAACAAUGGAUCUCUUGGUUCUGG